AAAAUAUAUGUUCGUUAACUAAGCUUUCAAGGAACUGGAUUAAAUAAAAGAUUUUAAAGUAGUGUAAGUAAAAUUAUACCAUUUGACCCCCCACAAACGUGCAUCUCCAAUAUCAUGCAUAGAGAAAAUUGAUCUGGUACAUGACUGUGUGCCUUAUACUCUAACUUUCGUAUCUGGAGUUUAACAAUUGACAGAAUACACACGAAUAGUCAUUGCCAACAAUGAUUGCAUCUACUCCAGUAUUUACCAUCUGUCAUGUGGAAUAAUGUCCCCGCAUUAUCACAGGUCACUUAAUCAAUGACUCAUUUUGAUUACCCACCUGCUCAGAUGCAGCAUGCACUAAAAAUCAUUAAAGGCUGCAUCCUUACAUUACCCAAACAUGCACAGGUUCUUUUUCUUGGCCCUAAAAAA